rnacentral:rRNA from 1 species
GAUGAACGCUGGCGGCGUGCCUAAUACAUGCAAGUCGAGCGAACAGACGAGGAGCUUGCUCCUCUGACGUUAGCGGCGGACGGGUGAGUAACACGUGGAUAACCUACCUAUAAGACUGGGAUAACUUCGGGAAACCGGAGCUACUACCGGAUAAUAUAUUGAACCGCAUGGUUCAAUAGUGAAAGACGGUUUUGCUGUCACUUAUAGAUGGAUCAGCGCCGCAUUAGCUAGUUGGUAAGGUAACUGCUUACCAAGGCAACGAUGCGUAGCCGACCUGAGAGGGUGAUUGGCCACACUGGAACUGAGAAACGGUCCAGACUCCGACGGGAGGCAGCAGUAGGGAAUCUUCCGCAAUGGGCGAAAGCCUGACGUAGCAACGCCGCGUGAGUGAUGAAGGUCUUCGGAUCGUAAAGCUCUGUUAUUAGGGAAGAACAAAUGUGUAAGUAACUAUACACGUCUUGACGGUACCUAAUCAGAAAGCCACGGCUAACUACGUG